GAUGAAGAACGUAGCGAAAUGCGAUAAGUAAUGUGAAUUGCAGAAUUCAGUGAAUCAUCGAAUCUUUGAACGCACAUUGCGCCCGCCAGUAUUCUGGCGGGCAUGCCUGUCUGAGCGUCAUUUCAACCCUCAUGCCCCUAGGGCGUGGUGUUGGGGAUCGGCCAAAGCCCGCGAGGGACGGCCGGCCCCUAAAUCUAGUGGCGGACCCGUCGUGGCCUCCUCUGCGAAGUAGUGAUAUUCCGCAUCGGAGAGCGACGAGCCCCUGCCGUUAAACCCCCAACUUUCCAAGGUUGACCUCAAAUCAGGUAGGAAUACCCGCUGAACUUAAGCAUAUCAAUAAGCGGAGGA
rnacentral:misc_RNA from 1 species